GGGCCCGCACAAGCGGUGGAGCAUGUGGGUCAAUGGGAUGAUACGCCAAGAACCUUACCAGGGCUUGACAUGCUGGGGACGGCUCAUGAAAGUGGGUUUCCCUGGCAACAGGGUCCCAGCACAGGUGGUGCAUGGUUGUCGUCAGCUCGUGUCGUGAGAUGUUGGGUUAAGUCCCGCAACGAGCGCAACCCUCGCCGGAUGUUGCCAGCGUCAAGACGGGCACUCUUCCGGGACUGCCUGAGUAAUCAGGAGGAAGGAGAGGAUGACGUCAAAUCUGCAUGCCCCUUAUGCCCUGGGCUGCACACGUGCUACAAUGGCGGGUACAAAGGGUUGCCAAACCGCGAGGUGGAGCUAAUCCCCCAAAACCCGUCCCAGUUCGGAUCGCAUGUCUGCAACUCGACUGCGUGAAGUUGGAAUCGCUAGUAACCGUGGAUCAGCAACGCCACGGUGAAUACGUUCCCGGGCCUU
rnacentral:rRNA from 1 species